GCCCUGAUAGCUUAACCCUUAAAGCAUUGGCCUUGUAAACCAACGACGGGCCUUGGCCCUCAGGACA
rnacentral:tRNA from 1 species